UCCUUUUGCCAGUGGCUUGGUAGAAUGGAACUUGUGCAUCAAUGUGAGCUCUUGUUUCUGCAAAGCUCUUGCUGCUUUUUAGGGAAAAAAUAGAUAUUUCCUUCCAAAGGCAAGUGAAAGAAGAUUGCACUAAUGUCUUGUCUAUAUUUGACUUUAGUGCAUAUCACAUUUCCAGUUCAGACUGCUUGGUUUCACUGCUUCAUGGUCUGCUCUACCUGGCUACUGAUACUCUGUGGGAUAAUACCCUCAAUUAAUAAGAAACUUGUUUUCUUCCCAGUGUUCUUAAAGUUUCCCUUUAGGAACAAUUAAAGUUGGCUUCUGACAUGUCAACUUUGAUACUGCCUUUGAUACUUUGUCUAGAAAAGUCUUAAGUAUUGUUAGUCUUUAGUGCUUUAGAAACCCUAAGUCAGAAUUUCAAAGGCUGAAUUAAAACAAUUUCUUUUUGCAUCUUCUGGUUCAAAUCUUACAGGGCUUGUUCAUUCACAUUACUAAGGCCUUACUGAACUAUAGCUGCAAAGCUAAUUUUUCUCACCAGAUGACCGCAGGAGAAGGAUUUUGACUAAAAAUCUUAGAUAUUGCAAAAGUUGAUGUUGAUUGUAUGGGUGUUAUUGUUGAUUUAUUGUUUUCUGUACCAGUUCCAGCAUUCAAUGGUAUUGGAUGUUUCUUAGAGGCUGAUGGAAAGUAUAGGUAUCAUCCUCAAAAUGUAUACACAAAAGCAACGUACCCAGGUUCAGGUUAUGAGAUAGCCCUACUGAGAGCUUUCUAGUGUUUAAAAUCUAGGCUGUGUAUAGAAUACACUUGGUGUCCUUAUUGCAUCCCCUAGCAGGGGAAGUGAGCUCAGGACACAUAACAUACACCACUGAAUGGAAAGACCAUUGCAAGUCAAAUGCUGAUGGCAUGCACUAUUGUGGUAACCCAUGAUGUGGUAGAGAGACAAAUCCCAUACUGCUGUAACCCAGUUUGCACUUAGUUUUUUCAUAGGUGAGAUCUCAGAUACAAUUACUGCUGAAUUUGUUCCUCAGGACUGUUGAGCAGAUCUAUAUUGGGUAUUUUAUUUGGAAUAAGAGAAGACCUGAUUCUUCUGAAUUUUGCCUUUUUGGAUCAGUGACUAAGUGAAUUCUUUGUCUUCUUUCACAGUAGUUUCAGGAAAUGUUGUUUUGUUCCUGGUGAUGCUCCAUCAGGGUUGCUUUGAGAAGACUCUCUAACUGGCACUCAGUUCGGCCUUGGCACUUGCUCCAGAAACACUUCUGCCAAAUGCUUCGCCGCUGAGUUACUGUUCUCGGUCUCCAACUGUUUGUUCUUCUCAAGGUGGGGAACUGCCGGUGAAGGGAGGCAUUUUGAUGAAUCAUAACUCCCAUGCUCUUGCAUCCCACUAUUUUCCAGCCAAAAUGCUUUCACCCUCGCUCAAUACCAGCCUCUACCCUUACUCACAGAGUUUAUUCAAUCUGUCAUGUAGGCUGUGGUGUGUAAAGGUGAUCAGCCUCUGGGGCUUCUCUGGAAAGGCAGAUGGUUGACCUGAAGCAAGAAAAACAUCUGCCUUCAUCAGACAUUCAGUUUACUUUGGUAACUUCUAUUCUCUACUGUUACUGCUGCCAGUUGCUAUCACUAAUACAGAAGGGAUAACAGAUGAGUUACCCUGUAAUUUGACUCCAGGAGCAUCUUACAGCUUACCAAGAAGCAGCAUCAGUUAAAGUAGGUGACUUGAGAAGUAUUCUCAGCUCUGUUAGCUUCCAGCGGGACUGUGCUAAUCCUUCAUCAGCUAUACAUUCAGUACUAAGCCAGAAACAUUUCCUUUGGGUCUUUAUCUGUGGAGUGUCAGACAUAUGUUGUAGUAUGGCCUAUUUUAAGUGCCUUAAAAUAUGUGUUAACACUCUAAAAUAGAUUGAUUUUAAUAUUCACAAAUGUUGAUGCCAAAACAGGACCCAUUUAAUCUGUCAUCUGUGCACUUAGGGACUAUAAAGUAAGCAGGUUUCUUCUGUGACCCCUUGGGGAGUGAAGAGGAUGAAGUGGUUGCUGUUUUUACCACUGAGGUAUAAAACAGCAGUACAAAAUGUGGGGUGGAGACAGCACAUGUGUGGAUGACCACGAUCUGGCAACACCAAGCCUGAAGCUACAAAAAUGGAUAUGAACUCUUCUGCUGGACCUGACAUGGAGUGGGUUCUUGUCCAGGUUCUCUGUCAGAACAUGGCACCAGUCUGAACCCUGGUCUUGCAUGGGAUGGAAGCUCAUCCUCAGGAAAUGGGGAACAUCAGGUCAAAUAUUCUCUCAGUAAAUAUUUGAGCUCUGUGUGUAGGGGGAAAAAAAAGAUCAGGAAAUGGUGUCUAUCUCAGCACAGUGUUUGAAGGGUCAUGAUACAAGCAUGGAAGCUCUUGUGACCUUAUGUUAGUGGAGCCUGGAAAGGAAGAAAAUGCUUUCUUGCUGAUGUUAAGUGGUGAGGAAGAAAAGCUAUUGCAGCAUCAAUCAUGAAGCUGUGCCUCUAACUUUUUUCGCUGUAGAUAGAGGUGAGUGGUGGACUUGCCACAGUCCUUGUUUUUUCUCAUAUCCAUGAAAUAGGGGUGAUCUGCUUGCUUGUUAAUCUUCCUAGAUGUGAUAGAAGGGUUUUCCCUGUGCUUUGAGUUGGUAUUUGGAUACCCAUUUAAGUGUAUGAGUGACCAAAUCCCAUUAGGUGUGUCUUGUCCUCAAAUGGAUUCCCAAAGCUGAAUCUGCUUGCUAAAACAAGUACUGUUCAAAUAUGAAUUGUGGCAUUUUAGUGUGGCUGAUGAUGCUGAAGGUAGGAGAGGCUGGAGAUGGUUCAUGCUUGGGGGGGCAGGGGGGUAAUGCCAGGCAGGAAUUUGUCACCAAGUGACCCAUACUACUGCCUCCACCCUGCUCUGCUCCCUCAAGCUAAAGCUUUCCAUGGAAACUGUAGCUGUGUUGGCUCUGGCUGAGACUUCAGGUUAUUUAUGGAAAACUUAGCAAUGUUCUUGCACUUCUGUUCACUUUCAGGUCUUCAAUAAAACACAGCAGUGAGCCAAACCCUGUCAGCUUAGUCUGGUUAGUGUGGCCUUCCAGAAACUGAUGGAUAAGAAGUUGGCCUUGGCCCCCAAGAUGGUGGUUAUUUUCUUUAUGGGCAUGCCUAGUACUUUCCAAGGUGUUAAAGUUACAGAAAAGGGGUGACUCAGCUGCAUCAACACCUGAACUGCUUUACAAAGUUGUCUGUCUCUUCAUUAACCAUGUGAAGAGCUUGAGCAAACUAGGAAUGGAGCUCUGUGUGUGGUUAGCUGAGCUGAAUCUUCGCCGUGGUCAGACAUGUCCUCUUCUCCCUUAGUCAUUGAGCCAUCAACAAGUUUGGUGCUAAGCAUUAGGAGCAUUUCUUUUAGGAUUAGAAAACAAAGUCUCAAGAUAUUUAUUUUAUUUGGGACUGAGAUGCAGAGAACUUCUGAAUGUUGUUUUUCUCAGCUGUGGAGUAACUUCAUUUCAUUCACAGCUUUAUUCAGUGUCAACUGGAGUUGGAUUCCAAGAAUCUGCAGUUCACACAGUAUCUGUGACAGAGCUCAAAAUAAACCCCAUGUCUCCAGAGACACAGACUUCAUACUUGUGAGACAGUUCUUGAGGUGUUUUGCUCCCUCUUCUUGAAUGAGAAGGCUAGACUAGAGUGUCUGCUUGGAGACAGUUUUCCCUUUUCAAAGGAUUGAGGGGAGAUUCGCUCCUUCCAAUGGGAAGGAGAAUUGCUUCUGUGCUAAAGUCCAUUAAUUGCAAGAGACAAAGCUGAACAGUAUGUACAGAUCAGAAAUGUAACUGUGCCCAAGAAUUAAAGAUGCUGGAAGAACUUAGUCACAGCCUUGGCAGUGGCCUGAAACAUACAGCAAGUACUUAUGUUGGGUGUGGGAUGUAAUGCUGCUACUCACUGCUAUUGCAGUAAAAGCUUUGAGUCUGUCCAGUGGUGAUUGCUGGAGACUUCCUGGGAGCAGGGAAGCUCAAGAAGGCCAUGGGGGAAAACUGUGGGAUUUCCCGAAGCCAAAUCAACAGCCACUGUUUUAAAUCCCUACACCUGUUCUGCUCCCUGGGCUGAAUGUGCCCCACUGCUCCCAGGCAAAGUCACGCAGUGUAGGUACUUGGUUUGGAAAGCAGAAGACAUGCUGUUAUUUAUCUGGGAAACAGAGGUACAGACUGUUUUUUCCCUUUCCAGUGUCUGGGUGGGGAAGAGUGGUUUUUUUUGUUUUUAAAUUGGAAUGAGAAAAGAUGGGCUGUAAUUCUUUUUCCAUGUGGAAUCUGAGGGGUUACAAAUCACACCUCUAAUUAAAAAAAAAAAAAGUAUCUUGCUGGAUCUAUUGAGGACCUGACAGAAUUAUUUUUUUCGGUUUAGUUUCAACAGCUGAACUUGGAAAAAUCUGUAGGAGAAACAUUGUUUUAAAUAAAGCCACUUCAGGCUCUAAACUUGGAAUUUUUCCCUUGAAAAAUGUUACAAUGAAAAAUGAACAAAUUGGGAACUUAAAGCUCAUCUGGAAUAACCCUUUCCUAUGAAUAAUUUCAUGAGAUCUCUGCUCCCCUCUUUUGGUGAAAUGUUCCUCAAUAGCUUUUAAGCCUUCAAAAAAUGUCUCCUGCACUCAAAGCAGAUGUUAUUUGAAUAAUGUUUUCAGUGAAGGGAGAAGAUGUGUUGAGGUGUUUUUGUUAGGGAGCACCUGAAGCUGAAGUCAGCUGGGUGUUACUAUACGUGAGACUGAAGAGACCAACAUGCUGAAGACUGAGUGCUUUGUGUUUUAAUUCCCUUUCCAAAUUUCUGGCUGUAGACGUCACACUUUUGCCAUGCUUUGAUCACUCUUGGAUCAUAGCUUGAUCAAACUUUGCUAUUGCUGGCCUUCAGGUACUCGAAUUACUUAGGACCAUCGUGGGGAAAUAUUGCUGGCUGGAGCAAGUCAGAGCAUCUGAACUAAGUUUCUGCUGUGUCUUGCCCUUGGGAGCAGUCUCUCUCUCUUAAAUGAUUGAGGAGAAAUUCUGGCUGCCUGCCCUUGAUCCCUAGAGCAGCAUAAUGUGAUAUUCUCCCUGUGAAAUCCUGUCUUGCUGAAGUGGUGAAAACAUCCCUGUUGACAUCCACGCAUCAAGGAUUUCACCUGAAGCCCCCCAGUGACUGAGCAUGACAUUUUUUAUAACAGCCUGUUCUUUAAGGCACUCACUGUGUUAAAAGCAAAGCCACAAAGCAGACAUCUGGCACUGUGCCUCCUAGGUAACGUCAUGGACUGUGAUUCUUGAAAGCUGCUACAUGCACAGGAAAAAAUUUGAUACUGUACAAACAAGACAGCUGCAAACUGUUAUGGUUAACUUACGUGCUCUGCUUCUCAGUGAAUACACUAUUCAGCUGAGAUGCAUCCCUCUUGGUUUGCGUGCCAGCAGUCCUCAGCUGACAUCGUGGUUGUACAAAGGUAACAUCAAAUAGGAGCUACAUUAACCAGUUUUUCUGGUUAAUCUUCUGAUUUUUUUCUUCUAAUAUUUUGAUCUUGUCAUCUUCUGUUCCUUUCAACCUGCUCUUUUAUAUAGAAUAUUUUGAAUAUAAACCUGCUGGGUUUUUAUUUCUGCAUAUUAGUUGAAGGCAGAGAGCAAGUCUGAGAGAUGGUGCUGGGAAUGCUGGGCCUAUCGCUUUGAGGGUAAACCAGGCUGCCAUCAUCUGUAACUUUCCAUCAGAUCACCAUUGCAGAAGAGGUAGAAGCAGAAUCCAGCAUGGAGCUUCUCAUGCUAUGAGGCUUAUGUGGUCACAGUUGAUAUGACUAAAGAUACCUGAUGAACUGACCCCACUGAAGAAGGGCUUCUCCAUGUCCCAGCUGCUGAAAAGAAAGCAGUGCUCUGUGCAUCUAGGGAUGCUUUGUGUACUCUGAACUGGGAAUACACUGUCUGGGUAGCAGCAAUUGAGUAUAGAUUGAAACUCUGCAGGCCACUGCUUGCACACAGGUUAAAGUACUAACUUGAGAAGGCUGCGUGAGUAUUAAUCAGGCUCAGUAAUGGGAAAGCAAAACCAGUGUGAACCAACGAUAGAAGAAAGCAGCUUUUCUACAUUUGAUUAGAUGAGAAUGGCUCUACUAGAUCAGUUCACAGGUUUGCCUGACCUGGUAUCUUGUUAUGGUUCAGGGUUAGAGGUUUAGUGAGAGCCUAAGAAUAGAGCACAGACAUAGCAAUGUUUCACCCAGAUACCUUCUGGGUCUCCAGCAGUUGCUGGGAGUCUUCCUGAGCCAGAGAUCAUUUCUUUGUGUUUAUUAGUUCUCAUUGCUAUUUCAGAAAAUACUUAUGCACUCUUCCAGCACAGGGAAUUGCAGAGGGUCAUGGGCUGUGGGAGCAGGUAGGAGCAGCAGUGUAACUGCCUUCUUGGGUGCAGCAUGACCUCCUGGGCAGGACUGCUAAGCAGCUGUUGCAGGUCAGGUUGCAGGUCCGCUUGGUCUGGCUGCUCUUUGUCCCCAGGAGGCUGCUGUUUGCUUGGCAGCUUGACUUUGGGGAUUGACUGUGGAGCAGCUGAGGUCCCUGGGUUAGUUCAGUGCAGAGCAGAGAAGGUUGAGGGAGGCCUCAGGGCAGUUGCAGCUCCUCACAGGGAGCGGAGAGGUACUGCUGAUCUCUGCUCUCUGCUGACAGUGACAGAACCCAAGGGAAUGGUACAGAGCUGUGUUGGGAGGGUUCAGAUUGAAUAUCAGGGAAGAGGUUCUUCACCAGAGGGUGGUUGGGCACUGUAACAGCCUCCCCAGGGCAGUGGUCGUGUCACUGAGAUUGCCAGAAUUCAAGAAGCAUCUAGACAAUGCUCUCAGGCAUUCAAUCUGAUUUUUGGGUGGUGCUGUGUGGAGCCAGGAGUUGGACUCUAUGAUCCUUACGGGUCCCUUCCAACCUGGGGGUUCUGAACUGGGCAGGGUUCUGGACUAACAGUGAGUUUAAAAAAAAAAAAAGUUAACUAAAGAAUGCCAGUAAGCCUGUCUGGUUUGGCUGAUGGUGACAUUCCUUUUCUGUCUUCCUUGUAAAUCAGAGUGAAAACUUAUUUGCCAGGUCUCCUACUCAAAUGUUUCCAGUGAAUGCUAGUUUAGGGAGUUGAGGGUCUUGACGCUAUUCCCCAGAACUCUCCUAGGUGGCCAAGCUAACAGAGCAGAAGGUACUUCAAGAGCGAACUGUCUACCAAGUAUGAUAUGUCGCAAGGUUUGAAUCCCAGAAGAAUGGAGUACUAUUUCUUCAGUGGGAAAUCAAUUCUAUUAAAUAUUCAGUUUAUCUACCUUUAAAAUGCUGAAACAGUUACCUCCUGGUAGCAUUUAUAGUUUUAGUGCUUAAUAUUCUUGGAUGGGAGAGGGGAUAAAGAUGCAAAUCUGAAUAGACGGAAAGGUCUUAGGGUCAGAGUUUAAAUCUACUCUUCAAAGGUGAUGUAUGUUUCCAGAGUUGUUCUAAGAAGAUCGAGGAAAGUACUUUACAAAAUGAAUGACUUAAUCUUUUGUGAUCUUUUUUCAGUGUCUUGGUGAACUGUCAUGCUCACUGUUACUUUAAAAAUUGAUGUACUCCUUCCCUUUUUGUGCACUGAUCUAAAUGCUAGAGCCUUAACUACAAGCCUUCCUUUAAUUAGGUCUACUCCAAACAGUGGAUAGACACAUGCUGUAAGGAAUUAUGGACUGCCAAGGACGCCAUCAAAUGAUUGAAAAGGAACAUUUACAAACCAGUAAAACCUGUUAUUAGGGGAUUAUUAUUGAAAGGCCUGCAAACAACAUAUGGUCCUCUCCCCUUACCCCCUAGUGGUUGAGGUUAUUUUUUUAAAAAGCUCCUCUUCUUUUCUUCUUAAUAGACUUCACGGGAAGAUAAAUACCAUAUCGUUCCUCCAAAGGAAGUGCCUGAAGAAGCAGUCAGCAUCAGAUGGGUCAGUUCUUUGGGACCUGCAGGUUUUGCAAUAGCUCCUUUCAUGUGUCUGUCCACCCCUGCCAUUUUGCACAGAUGCAGUGAAUUUCAGUCUGCUCUAAUUCUCACCAGGCCUGGUGAGAAGCUGUGGAGAAGGAAUUCGGGAGUACAGGAAUGGAGACAGAUAAUUCAUGCUGUUAUUUGGUUUUGGCUAGCUAAGAAAAAUUUUCACAGCACUGGAAAAUAUGACUUGGCACUUAAGGGUUUCAUUCAGCAAGUGGAGGUGAAUGGCUGGGAGAUAGGAACUGGUCUGUCUUGCUGGCUUUUGGGCCAUGUAGCCAGCAGCUUUCCUUUCCUGUUGUCUUUGUUUGCCUUGCUGGGUAUUAAGGCUUUGGUGUGCAGAGCACUUAGCUGACAAUGUGAGAGCAGUGACCCUCACAGCUUGGCUGUGUUUUGCUGCUGGGAAGUCACAGUUCCUUGCAGAGCAUCACUGCUGUGUGUCCUUCCCCAGCAGCUCCAGCUCUUUAUCCAAAGCAAAUGGUGUUAUUUCCCACUGAAUCAGCAAGCUGGUGAAGCCUGCUCCAUGUGCCCAAGAGAACUCUUUGUACCUUGGGCUGGAUAUGGCAGUGCCUGAAGAGCAGGCACUCUGUUUUGUGUCAUGUUUGCCAUAGAAAGAGCUGGGAGGACAGUGCCUUCUUAACUUGCUGAAGAUCUUGGUCCUGUGAGCACCAGGUUCUACGUGAAAGAGCAACCAAAGUAUACAGGUAAGAAAUGUCAGUAAAAGGGAGGAGGAAAGAGAAGCUCUGAGAGAGGAGCUGCUUUUUACCUAAGCCCUUCCAUCAAGGAAGUAACAAUGUGAAGAAGAGAGCCCACAUCUCAUGAGGGUCCAUCUGUCCCCUUGCUCGCUCAUAGUCUGAGUUAGGUCACCCUAGACCCCUUGUCUGUGGUGUUUAUCAUCUAUUUUGAAACAGCAGGACCAAGUUCAAAUGCUCUUUGUUGGUGCUGCAGGAAAGGACAGCUCUUGCUGUGCAAUGCUGACUGUGCAAGAGUGAGGUGAUGCUUUCUCCCAAGCUGGUUGCUGGGCUGUAGGCAGGGCAAGAGAAGCAAAUCCGAGCUUCAGGCAGGCUGGAGCUGUCUGGUAGCUGCCUGUAGGCUGGAAGAGGUACCCAAACGAGAAAGGCAUGGUGGGAUCAACGAAGAGAAGAAGAGGAAAGGCAAGACCACAGUACCUGGGGUGGAGGAGGCACAGUGUACUCCAUCAAGAGAUCUAGCUUGCUUGUUCAGCAGCAGGCCCUGCAGCUCUCAAAAUUGUUUCUGAUCUGACGCUGACCAUGAGCUCAGACAGCUGGUAGAAAAUGGAUGAUGCAGAAAAAGCAUAAUUGGGGUUGGAAGCAGUAAAAGGCUUGGCUUCUUCCACAGCAAAUGUUUCUGGGAAUUGCUGUGGAAAAAAAUUCAGCUGCAGUUUGAGUGCAGCUGGGAGCAGAGACCCUGCCAGUUCAUCCCUCCUCACCCUCACUGCAGAGGAAAGCAGGGGAAUGCAUUUUAUGGGAUUUUCACACGAUGCAAUUAUAUCUUUGAAGUAUGGGAUGCAGAUGCAUUACUGAUGUCUUAUAUCCUAUGCAGAUUACCCCUAAGGGUGGCAUCCUGAUUGCCUUCUGUGCAAUCCAGCUGCAGCUUUCUCUAAACAAACACCUCUGGUCUAGGGAAACCAAGGACCUGAGCAGCUGUUCUGAUGAACAAGGCACCAGUCUGGUGUGGCACAGGACAGCUUAGGUAGGGACCUGCAUGGGAGCAAUGGGAAAUUCACCCCAAAUUGUGGGAAAAUGGGAAUAAAUAGGAUUUGCUGUCUGUUAGUGCCCCCAUCGUCCAGUGUGAUGCAUAGUACUUUCAACACUUCUCAGCUAGCAUGAUGUGCUAUGUCACCAGAGCUGCUCAUUUUCUACAAAUACCUGGAAAACAUCCUCCUGCAUGUUGUUGAGCUGGCAUUCAUAGAGUAUUAUGUUCAUCAGUGAAUAGCUUGCAAUGCUUAGACCACAAGCUGAGUGCAAAACUGAGAUCCUUGAGUCCCUCUGUUCAAGAGCUGCCUCACUUAAGAAGUGUGAGCAGAUUGCAGUGCUUCUCGUAUUGUACCCUUGGAGUUCUCGCAUCUGGUGUGCUGUGCCCCCAGCAUGGCUGCUUAGGAAAGGAGGCUGUGUUCAAGGAUCUGGAUGCAGCUGCAGCAGAAGAGGCCCCAAACCCCAAUAGCCUGGCUCAGUCCUUCUCUGGACCCAGUAAGGCAAUCUCAGAGCACAGGAUUUACCUUUAUUGCUGAGGUUCUCCACCAAGGGCCCCAUUGAGAAGGCAGCAUCCUCCCUGCGAAGAUAGAGGCAGGAUUUUGGCCUUUACUGGAAGUGUGGCCAGACACAUCUACUCUGCAGUCUAGCUUCUCCAAACUGACACUCUCUGUGGGCAAGAGACUGGGAGAACUCAACCCUGCGCUUUCAAUGCAUGUGUGUUUAAGAUGCAUGCUGGGGCUUUAGAUCGGUGCAGGGAACUGGGGGUGUCUGUCUGACAUGGUGGAAGAUGGAGGCAGAGGGGUCAUAAUUAGGAAAUAGUUUCCUGCUUACUUAUUCUUGAGAUGACUUGGCUUAACUGGAGGGGUUGCUGCCUUCUGUACUGAGCUGGAGAGGUGCAAGUGCAGCCUGUGUCCUCUGGGUGAUGAGAAGGGGCAAUUCUUCAACAGAUGGCCUUCACCCUUUCUUAACUGUGUAAGAUGAUCAGGAUAGCUGUGCUUUAGAGCUUCCAGUCUCAGCCCAUUUCGCACUUACUUUGAAAACUUUCUUAUGUUGAAUGCUUGCGGGCUGCCUAUAAAACUAUGCCACCUUGGGUAACACUAUAGCGUGUGAAGCAGCUUGGUUGGAGUUGCUCUGUGAAAGAAUGGCAGAAGAGAGGUGUAGAAGGAAGUAACUACACCAUUAAAGACAAAGAUAAAUAGAUCAACAGGGAUUCACAGCUUUAUAUUGCAGUCAUAUGUGUAAAAAGAGAAAAAUACCAAUGGAGAAUCUAUGGUUUGGUCAUUUUUUCCCCAGAUAUGGUUCUUUAAGAUGUAUUAUUUGAGAACCUCAAGAGUCAACAAAUGAAAACUAAACAAAAAAAACCCCAUCAAAUUGAUACCUUUUUAUUUGCAUCUAAUAAUCUGACUGCUUUGGGUAAAAGUACAACUUAUAGUGAAAAUAUCUAUUUUAGUCAGAAUAAACAUUUUCAGCUGGAAUAAGGACAAAUGGAACAUUUUGACCCGUCCUAGAAACAGUGUCCCACUCUCAACUGUAUGUAGUAGUUUGUAAAAAUAAUUUUUAAGAGUUCAGACUAUUAGAAACAUCUGCUUUCCUGGGUAUCAUGAGACACUGCAGCAUUUGAAAAUGGAGAGUGUGUACCAUGCUUAUCUUAGCCACCAUAAAACAUCGGCUCCACAGUUUAAACUGUGGGAUUCUAAUUAUGGUGUGGAUAUAUUAUUCAGUCCUGUGUAAUGCAAUUUGGUGAUGCCACAGUGAUCUCUUUUCUUUAGCUGGAACUACGCCAUAUUUGCUGUGUGUGGCCGAACAUCAAAUGCAUCUGAAUAAGCAGAAUAGUUGUUUCCAGACUAAACACAUUUCAAAUUUGUUUAAGAUGUUGAGUGAGGCUAAUGACUGGGAGAUGUCUCUUCUGUUCUGUUAAGGUACUAUAAUGUGUCACUGCCAAUGCAAAUCUGUGUUUAGGUCUAAAAGCGCUGAAUCCCCUAACUGUACUGAAGUAUUCCUUUGGGUGCAGUAAGUGUUGGCUGAGGGCCAUUCUGUCAUAUUCUGAGCAUCUACAAGCAUUAAUAGUUACAUCUUUGCAGUGGCCUCUGGAGCAAAAGGUUAUAAUCAUUAUUGUUCUCUUUCAGAUGGGAAAGCUGGAUCAUGAGUAGACGAUAAUCCUGAUCUGUUUGACUUGGAAUGACUUGGGGGAAGCUGGUGGUGGAACCAGAGAAAAGCAGAGACUUGGCAGUAGUUUAGUUCAUUACAAGAUCCUUGAUUCUUUAGCAAAACCAACUGGUGAUUAAUAGUCAAGGAGGAAGUCAUCUUAUCCUGACAACACUCUCCUCACUAGUUCUUGAUUUCUGUGCCUUUAUUUAAUUUUCUAAAUUGCCAACUCGGGAGCAUCUACAAUUACAGUUUUGGAGAUGGAGCAGUGAGAGCUGAAGCACAUGAACAGCACAUAAACUAUGUGGGACCUUGCUCAUUUUGUCUCAUAAUGGUAUGUCUAGACCAAAGGUAUUGAGGGUGCCCAUGCUCAUAGGGUCUUGUACAGAUUCUCCACGCUUACAGAGCAGCAGUGCUACUGUACAUCCUGGCCGAGAGAUGUGAUGCUUGGCAAAAGCUCUGCUCACAGUAUGGAACAGGGGGUACAAAAGUAUGGCCUACCCGCCUACAUACAUGCUUUUUUGCUAAUUUGACUGUUUUCUUGCUGGCUACAUUUCCGUGGUUCUGGAAAGAGUUUAUAAUGCAUCUGCGGUCCUUAAAGAUUCCCUGGCUUCCUGUUUCUCUGGAGCUAGGGGUGUUAUUAAAUAUAGCCUCCCACCAAAUUCCAGUGACUAAUUGCACACAGACCUUAGUCCUAAACCAGCCGUGACUCAGAUACCAAGGAGCCUCUGUGAGUAAUGCUGCAGGAAGGGCCAACACGCUUCUUUCCUAGCCUUUCACAGGCAGCGUGAAUGCUGAAUAAGAGCAGACCAAAUAGCAAGGAUGGUCCUUCAGCCAAAAAAAAAAAAAAUAAGAAGGUACUCACAGUCUCUAGAUGUUGUCCAGCGCUGAUGCUGAGCUUUCAGAUGGCCCCAGCUGAAGCACAAUGAGUGUGCUGAGCACAGAUGCCAUAAAGGCCUGGGGCAGACCUACUUUUCCAUGGGCAGUCAGCUCAUUGGCAGGGCAGUAGCAAAAGUUUCCACUAUGAAAAUGUCCUUGAGUUUAACCAGACAUUGAAGCACAUAGCUCCUGGCAGAGGUGAGGCCUGGGUGAUGCUGUUUCAGGUUAGGCCUUAGUUGGAACAUCCACCUGGAGCAGUGCUUUGGAUGAGAGUUAAGGAUGAAUUCCUGAUCGAGCUCUUUCCUACCCAGAACUAGUUUUUGUCUUAGACUUCUUUACAGCUGAGCCUUGCCUUCCCCUUCUAAAGCCAUUUAUUUUGAAUGGCACUAUAGUUGGCCAUUUCAACCUGAUCCUGUAGCAUUUCUGCUCGCUGCAAAUACUUCCGUAUACUCCAAAGUUUAUUUUCUCUGGUUGUACAUAUAUAUGUAUAUAUAUACACAUAGUAGAAGACACAUUCUCAAGGAGGAGAAGAACUUAGUUCAAAAUCAUUUGAAUGCAAGAAUGAGAUUUUAGAGUUUGUGGCAAGUUGCUGUGUUUAUGAGCAGAAGGAAUAAAAACAAUUAGCUUUCCAAAGCAACUGCAAUCAUUACGUUUCUUCCAAUUAUUUAUGGCUUUUUUUUUCGGAGUUUUUCUUAUCAGUAUCUUCAGCUAGAAAAUACUUUUUUCUGAGAAAUGUCAACUGGCUUUUCAGAAUUCAAAGUUUCGUAAUAGAAAAUAAUAAUUAAAAAAAACCCUUUGUUUUAUAUUUCAGGAUUUUCUUUAAGUAGAUGUCUUGUAAACCUUUAUUAUAGGGCCAGGGCAUUCAGAGCUGAAGCUGGAUGUGUAAUUUCAUGCUAUGGUUAUGAAGUCACAAAAGCAUCUGGAUACAGUGUGAAAACCUUAACCAAAUAGUUUCUGAAGUAUGAUGAUCUAGUACCAUCAUCCAGGCUAAUUUAAGUGUCAAGAUUAAAUCACUUUAUGGAUUGGCAGUUGUGAAUGUUAAGCGUGUAGUUCUCAGCACCUUGCUGGUACUCUAACAGUUGAUUUGCAGCCAUCGUGCAUAUCAUACAAAUCAACUAGGGAGCAAUUGCUGUGCAAUAGGAAUAGGUUUGUAUGUUCAAUGUGGAUUCCCAAGCACCCUCAUCUUUUUACUAUUCUUCUUCAUUUUACAGUAGUCUGCAAUUUUGGAAAAAUUACAGUCCAUAGAGAAUUUAAAGCAAAACUUCCCCUCACCUUUUGCAGACAUCAGAAUCCUUGGAGACUGCACAUCUCUGCAGUCCCAAAUGACUCAUUUGCCACUAACUUCAUUGUUUUGAAAUGCUUCUAAUAGUAAAAGGAAAAAAUCAGAUGAUGGUAGUAGUAAAACCUGAGACCCUACCUGUUGUGCAUUGUCCCAGGAUGAACUUUAUCCAUGCUCUACUGCUGUGUAUCUCUAUUGCUGCUAAACCCCCAGUUUAUGGAAUGACAUAAGAUGUGGCGUAUUAGUGACUUGCCCUUAUCAUUUACCUUUCCUAUGUCUUAUAAAAUUGUCUUUUAUAAAAUUUUAAUACGGUUUCUAAGCAUUGUUCUUAAUGUCUGAUAUGUGGGUGUGAUUAUACCUGCUCUGUUAUAAUCUUGCCCAGUGUCAUGUCUCCAGCAGCAGCUAUGAGAGGAUAACAUGAGCUGAAGCUCAGGGUUGGUAGGUUUGAUGCCCUUCCCUUAUCUCCUGAUAUCCAGUGAUUUUCAGUUCAGGAACUGUUUGGAUUAGAUGUGAUAUCUAUAUAUCAUGAAGUAUCAAAUAGUUGUACUGACAACUACAGCUUGUUCAUUGCAUUGCUUGAGGUGAUAAUCAGUAUGGUUUUUAUCACUGAUAAUUGUGCUUUGCGUUUGCUUGUGUAGGAGAGCACUCUUAGGAGAAACUGUCCCAUGAAGCAGCAGCACUGUAGGCCAUUUAUCUCCAGGAAGAAGAGAUCUUCAAACAGAAGAAGUACGUUCCUUACAAGACAGGAAGCACCUGGGAUGUCUUCCAAGGAUCUGUGCCUGAAGCUGAAGCCAGCUGAUGACUGGAGGAGAGUUCCCAAUAUCCCCAAAUCCCCCUCAUUAGCCUUGGCAGGAGUGGGAGUUGCUGGACUUGUAACAGGCUCAUGGUGAAGUGAGAUGUUCUAUGGUCUGGAAGCAGUCGGUGAUAGCUUCGCCUCCUGUAUCAGCAGGAGAACUUAGGAGACACAGCUGAAGGAUUGGACAUUACCAUGGAGGUAACAUCUCCAGUGGAAAUGAUGACAGGGCUUUAAAACACCUGCAGCUGGUUCCCACACACCCCCCAGCCUACAUUUCAGGUCGGCACCACCAAGAUGCCUGUCUGCCUUGGCUGAUGAGGAUAGCUACACACAAGGCAAGCUAUCUGAACCCAACAGCAAAGACCAUGUUUCCCCUUAAUGCACUGUGUUGUGGGAAGUGUUUACUGCUGCUGCUCUUACAGAGCAGAAAACCAGAGGACUGAGCUCUUCCAAAUCACUUUGGAGACAUCCAGAGGAACGUGUGGUGCAUGCUAGCAGCACUGGGCUCUGGCCUGCCGCCUGUUGUCUGUGCUCUCAGCCUUUUCUUCAUGUUUUCCUACAAACAAAUGAAAGACCAUGUGGGUCCAAGUGGAGGUGCAGAGCCACGUGGAGGGUGGAUAAUUUGAGUUUUGGACACAGAGCAUCACGGGUGGUGCCUUGGCCAGCUGCGUGCUGAGGUCAGCCUGGACUUGGACAUCUUACUUUCUGCUCUUUGCCUUCUUUUGUCCCCCUGAGCACAAGAUCCUCUAUCACCCGUCCGGCACAAACAGAAGCAAAUCCAAAAAGUCAGCUGGGAUGCAGCAAGCGCACGAUGAGGAACAGCAGAAAGAAGAAUGACCCCACGCUGCUGUUACAAGCAGCUUCCUGAAAGCAGCUUGCGGCCAGGAAAAUCGCUGGAUGAAAUCCCUCAGAGGAGAAAGUCCAGGGAUUGGAGUCACGCUGCAGCACUCCAGCCUGCGACAGAGGGACAAAAGGGGAAGGACAGACAAACACCUAUCCAACACCUACUCCAGAAGGCAGCACAAAGAAGAGGAUGUAAAGCAGGACAAACAAGAGUGGCUUGUGCAAGAACUCCUGUAUUAGAAUUGAGUUUGUAAGUAAAGUAAAAUAGCAAACAGA